UACGUAGGUGGCAAGCGUUGUCCGGAAUUACUGGGCGUAAAGCGUGCGUAGACGGUUAUUUAAGUCGGGUGUGAAAGCCCCGGGCUCAACCUGGGAAUUGCAUUCGAGACUGAAUAGCUAGGGUACGGUAGAGGGAAGCGGAAUUUCCGGUGUAGCGGUGAAAUGCGUAGAUAUCGGAAGGAACAUCAGUGGCGAAAGCGGCUUCCUGGACCAGUACCGACGUUCAGGCACGAAAGCGUGGGGAGCAAACAGG
rnacentral:rRNA from 1 species